rnacentral:rRNA from 1 species
GGGGAAUAUUGCUCAAUGGGGGAAACCCUGACGCAGCAAUAGCGCGUGAGUGAAGAAGGUAUUCUGAACGUAAAGCUCUGUUAUUGGGGAAGAAAAAAAGACGGUACCAAAGACGAAAGUCCCGGCUAACUACCUGCCAGCAGCCGCGGUAAUACGUAGGGGACAAGCGUUGUCCGGAUUUACUGGGCGUAAAGGGCACGCAGGCGGUUUUUUAAGUCAGAUGUGAAAGGUACCGGCUCAACCGGUGACAUGCAUUUGAAACUGAAAGACUUGAGUAUUGGAGAGGCAAGUGGAAUUCCUAGUGUAGCGGUGAAAUGCGUAGAUAUUAGGAGGGACACCGGUGGCGGAGGCGGAUUGCUGGACAAAUUCUGACGCUGAGGUGCGAAAGCGUGGGGAGCAAACA